rnacentral:rRNA from 1 species
AUGCUCCUUUUCGAGCCAGAUCUGCAUAGCAUUGGAUCGAUCAAGUUGUUGUUGAUCACCUUUGAACUCCUCUCUGGCUUGAAAAUCAAUUUCCUCAAGAGUGAGGUUAUCUCCAUUGGGAUGAGCCAUCAAGAGAGUAGGCAUGUGGCUUGUUUACUAAAUUGUAAGCUUGGGGGCUUUCCAAUUAAGUACCUCGGCCUACCGAUAUCGCACCGGAAAUUGUCGAUCACGGAAUGGGAACCAUUAUACGGCAAGGUGGCUAAUCGGGUGAGCCCGUGGAGAGGGAGGUUCAUGUCCUCGGCGGCAAGACUAAUUCUCACAAAUACUAGUCUUUCCUCCUUGCCCCUCUUCACCACGGGUAUGUUUCUCUUAGCGGAUGGGGUUCAUGCAAAGAUUGACACGCCUCGUUCCAAGUUCUUUUGGGAAGGAUGUGGAACUAAAAAGAAGUAUCACUUAGUUAGGUGGGCGGCGGUCUGUAGACCUAAAAAGUUCGGUGGUCUGGGGAUCAUUAACUCUAAGAUGAUGAACGUGGCCCUAUUAACUAAGUGGUGGUGGCGUCUGGCCCCAAAAGAGUCGGGGCUCUCCGCUGACAUCCUUAGGGCUAAGUAUUUUCUUGAUGGAAACUUAUGCACGACCAAGUGCAAAGGGUCGCCGUUCUGGAAUGGGAUCCAGGCCGCUCGACCAGCCUUUGCAAUGGGGGCCAAGUUUGAAGUUCAUAACGGACUGUCCACGCGGUUCUGGCUGGAUAGCUGGAUUGACUCCCGGUCGUUGUGGCAGAUUUUCCCCACCCUCUACCAGCUAGUGACGGACACUAACGUGCUGGUUGGGAAGACCCUUAGCUCGUCGCUACCAACCAUUUACUUUAAGCGCCUCUUGAUAGAGCCUGAAAUGGGGAGGUGGAACGAGUUGUUGGCAAAAAUUGGGCCGGCACCGCUAAGCUUGGGAGCUGACGUGGUCUCAUGGGGUUUGUCGGCCUCUGGGAAAUUCUCGAUGAAGUCUUUAUACGCCAAGUUGGUAGAAGGCAACACCCUGGAUAGUGCCAGAGGGCUAUGGAAGGCAGGGAUCCCACUCAAGAUCAAAUUUUUCCUAUGGCAAAUGUUUAAAAACCGCCUCCCGACGGUGGACAAUGUGGCCAAAAGGAACGGUCCUUCCGAUGGAACGUGUAUUGUGUGUGGGAAUCACGAGGAUGCGAACCAUGUCUUUUUCCAAUGUGCGCUAGCUAGAUUCGCAUGGAGUGCGGUGAGGGGAGCAUUCCACCAAAAUUGGAGCCCAGCGUCGGGAUCCGAUUUGCUUCAGAUAGUUCAAUCCCAGAAAGGAUCUAGUGGCCGUAUUGUGUGGCGUUGCGUAGGGGUGCUUCUUUGGGGUUUGUGGUCUAUUAAGAGCAAAACGACGAUUGAAAAUAAGUUUCCUAAUCACCCCGCUAACUUUAUCUUCAAAUGUCAUCUCUUCUUACAGAUGUGGACAUCAUUGGGGAAGCACCACGAUUCUGAGCGGAUGUCGGAGACCAUGGAGAAGAUCAGAAGCACGUUGACGACCGCGCGGCAGCCUCCAUAG